UGCGGCAGGCCUAACCAUGCAGUCGAGCGGCAGCGACACAUUGAACCUUCGGGGGAUUGUUGGGCGGCGAGCGGCGGACGGGUGAGUAAUGCUUGGGAAUAUGCCUUAUGGUGGGGGACAACAGUUGGAAACGACUGCUAAUACCGCAUGAUGUCUACGGACCAAAGUGGGGGACCUUCGGGCCUCACGCCAUAAGAUUAGCCCAAGUGGGAUUAGCUAGUUGGUGAGGUAAUGGCUCACCAAGGCGACGAUCCCUAGCUGGUUUGAGAGGAUGAUCAGCCACACUGGGACUGAGACACGGCCCAGACUCCUACGGGAGGCAGCAGUGGGGAAUAUUGCACAAUGGGCGCAAGCCUGAUGCAGCCAUGCCGCGUGUGUGAAUAAGGCCUUCGGGUUGUAAAGCACUUUCAGUA
rnacentral:rRNA from 1 species